CGUGCAUAACACAUUCAAGUCGAACGGAGACUUUUGAAUUAAUCCUUCGGGAAGCGUUUAAAAGUCUUAGUGGCGGACGGGUGAGUAACGCGUGAGCAACCUGCCUCUGUAAGUGGAAUAACGUUUGGAAACGAACGCUAAUACCGCAUGACACAUAGUUGUCGCAUGAUUUCUAUGUCAAAGAUUUAUCGUACAGAGAUGGGCUCGCGUCCCAUUAGGUAGUUGGUGAGGUAACGGCCCACCAAGCCGACGAUGGUUAGCCGGACUGAGAGGUUGAACGGCCACAUUGGAACUGAGAUACGGUCCAGACUCCUACGGGAGGCAGCAGUGGGGAAUAUUGGGCAAUGGGCGCAAGCCUGACCCAGCGACGCCGCGUGAGGGAAGAAGGUCUUCGGAUUGUAAACCUUUGUUGACAGGGACGAAAGAUGACGGUACCUGUCGAGGAAGCCACGGCUAACUACGUGCCAGCCGCCGCGGUAACAC
rnacentral:rRNA from 1 species